rnacentral:rRNA from 1 species
UACAGAGGCCUCGAGCGUUAGGCGGAAUCACUGGGCUUAAAGCGUGUGUAGGCGGAUGCCUAAGUACCUUGUGAAAUCCCACGGCUCACCCGUGGAACGGCUGGGUAUACUGGGUGUCUUGAGCCACUUAGGGGCUGCCGGAACAAAUGGUGGAGCGGUGAAAUGCGUAGAUAUUGGGAAGAACACCGGUGGCGAAGGCGGCUCACUGGCUCGUAACUGACGCUCAUGCACGACAGCGUGGGGAUCAAACAGG